AUGGAGCAGGCACGUUCCUGGGUGAGUCUGGGCUGCCCUCUCUAUGACUUCAGUUCCAGAAACAGCACAAAACCAUGGUUACAGUGUUGUCUGCAUUUGGAUGUAACUCUGCCACCGCUAAACCUCAGGACCCUAUUCAUGGCCACUGCGGAACCUAAAAUAAAAAGAGGCCUAAAAGAAAAGGUAUCCUACUAGGUACCUAAGCAUCCCAUCUGCUUCUGGAAUUACCCAGGCCAGUGAGGCACAUGAAAGGCAAGAAAAGUGGGGGCAGGGAGUUUCUUUAAAAUCAAGCCUCAGUCAGCAGACUGGUUAAGUGUACCCUCUGGAGUGAAAAGGGAGUGUGGCAGCCUGUCCCCUGCUACACCCAGUUACAGGACUGUGCAAGGUGAUGAAAACGGGUGCUAUAUGCACCAGUUCUUUCUCCUUCCUUUUGAUGUGCUUGCCGGAAGAUAUAUUGCUCAAAGCCUUUGCCAGGCUUAAAAUACUUGGGGAGGAAAAGAAGAGGGGAUCAUUGUUUAAGUCCUGAUUAAAUCCAGAAAGAUAACAACACAGACCCUGCUCCACUUUCUGCCUCGCUUCUGUAGCAUCUCUUUACACAUUCAGGAAACAAUGUAUUGCUUCAAAAUGACACAGUGCUGAAGGUAGCUUAAAGAUCCUAAGAGAGCUUUGGAAAACUUCAACAUGACAUUCCAUAGUUUGCAACUGGACAAUUCUCAGUGAGACAUUCAAGUAUGACCAUUUUCAGGGUGAGAAGACAAGACACCCAGAAAAAAGGACAGCUUUUUACCACAAUGGUCUAAAGUUAAAAUAUUAUUAUAUGCCA